rnacentral:rRNA from 1 species
GAUGAACGCUGGCGGCGUGCUUAACACAUGCAAGUCGAACGGUGAACCCGGAGCUUGCUCUGUGGGAUCAGUGGCGAACGGGUGAGUAACACGUGAGCAACCUGCCCCUGACUCUGGGAUAAGCGCUGGAAACGGCGUCUAAUACUGGAUAUGUGACGUGACCGCAUGGUCUGCGUUUGGAAAGAUUUUUCGGUUGGGGAUGGGCUCGCGGCCUAUCAGCUGGUUGGUGAGGUAAUGGCUCACCAAGGCGUCGACGGGUAGCCGGCCUGAGAGGGUGACCGGCCACACUGGGAUUGAGAAACGGCCCAGACUCCUACGGGAGGCAGCAGUGGGGAAUAUUGCACAAUGGGCGAAGGCCUGAUGCAGCAACGCCGCGUGAGGGAUGACGGCCUUCGGGUUGUAAACCUUUUUUAGCAGGGAAGAAGCGAAAGUGACGGUACCUGCAGAAAAAGCGCCGGCUAACUACGUG